rnacentral:rRNA from 1 species
ACGAACGCUGGCGGCGUGCUUCACACAUGCAAGUCGAACGGAAAGGCCCUGCUUGCAGGGUACUCGAGUGGCGAACGGGUGAGUAACACGUGGGUGAUCUGCCCUGCACUUCGGGAUAAGCUUGGGAAACUGGGUCUAAUACCGGAUAGGAACCAUCUUUAGUGUGGUGGUUGGAAAGUUUUUUCGGUGUAGGAUGAGCUCGCGGCCUAUCAGCUUGUUGGUGGGGUAAUGGCCUACCAAGGCGGCGACGGGUAGCCGGCCUGAGAGGGUGUACGGCCACAUUGGGACUGAGAUACGGCCCAGACUCCUACGGGAGGCAGCAGUGGGGAAUAUUGCACAAUGGGCGCAAGCCUGAUGCAGCGACGCCGCGUGGGGGAUGAAGGCCUUCGGGUUGUAAACUCCUUUCGCUAGGGACGAAGCUUUGUUGUGACGGUACCUAGAGAAGAAGCACCGGCUAACUACGUG